rnacentral:tRNA from 1 species
GGCCGGCUGGCUCAAUGGUAGAGUGCUUGACUACGAAUCAAGAGGCUGCAGGGUAAGCAUUCAACCUAUACUUCCUUCCAUGAUCAACAACUAAUUCUCCCUCAGUUCGAGCCCUGCGUCGGUCA